GUGAAUCAUCAAAUCUUUGAACGCAAAUUGCACUCUCCUCGGAGAGUAUGCCUGUUUGAGGGUCAGCCUAUAAAAAAUCGACAUUGUUGCUGUUUCGCGGUGGCGUUCGUCGGAAAUUGGGUCAUCUUAAAUCUUUUGGUUUUAAGCGACUUAAAAUUUUCUUUUUGGUUCCAUGACCGUUUCUAAGAUUUAUUUCUUUACACGUUUAUGGAUUUAUUUUUAUUUAGACGUGACAUUCAAAUGGUAU
rnacentral:misc_RNA from 1 species